ACGUAGGGUGCGAGCGUUAAUCGGAAUUACUGGGCGUAAAGCGUACGCAGGCGGCUGGGUAAGACAGGUGUGAAAUCCCCGGGCUUAACCUGGGAACUGCAUUCGAUACUGUCUGGCUAGAGUAUGGGAGAGGGAAGCGGAAUUUCCGGUGUAGCGGUGAAAUGCGUAGAUAUCGGAAGGAACAUCGAUGGCGAAGGCAGCUUCCUGGCCCAAUACUGACGCUCAGGUGCGAAAGCGUGGGGAUCAAACGG
rnacentral:rRNA from 1 species